rnacentral:rRNA from 1 species
AUUGAACGCUGGCGGCAGGCCUAACACAUGCAAGUCGAGCGAGCGGCGGACGGGUGAGUAAUGUCUGGGAAACUGCCUGAUGGAGGGGGAUAACUACUGGAAACGGUAGCUAAUACCGCAUACCAUCAGAUGUGCCCAGAUGGGAUUAGCUAGUAGGUGGGGUAAUGGCUCACCUAGGCGACGAUCCCUAGCUGGUCUGAGAGGAUGACCAGCAACACUGGAACUGGGCCAGGGGCCAGCCGCCAACGGGAGGCAGCAGUGGGGAAUAGUGCACAAUGGGCGCAAGCCUGAUGAAGCCAUGCCGCGUGGGUGAAGAAGGCCUUCGGGUUGUAAAGCACUUUCAGCGAGGAGGCGUUACUCGAAGAGGAAGCACCGGCUAACUCCGUGCCAGCAGCCGCGGUAAUAC